rnacentral:rRNA from 1 species
UACCGAUUUUUAGUUUUUUAGGGUAGGGGUCGGAGGAAGACGAGUCGGUACCGCCUCCUCUGGCGCCGACGAGGCGACGCGGAGGACAGGCAUCGAUGGCGGCGGCGCUGGUGGCCGCGGUACUAGUUCGAGCGUUGUUACCGACCUCCCCGCAAUCCGAAGACCUUACUGACCCGCAGGGUCUAGAGCCAAGAGAACUCGGAGAAGAAGGUCCACAAUGAGGUAUAUAAACGAUUGUAGGCAGCCGCAUUUCUGCCGAGUAGAACCGACUCCCAGGGGGAGACCCACCGCAUGGUCGACAGACUGAGGUGACGCUGUAUGCGGCGGCCGGUCGAGGAGAAGUCGCCCCGUUGUUUUCUGGUGGUGGAGUAACGGAAGACCCACGGCAAGGAGGACAACGUGGAGCCGCCGGGCCUAUUGUAGUGGCGGAUGCGGGAGCUCCUAUCGUUCGAGACCCCCGCGGUGAACGAUUCGGAACACCACGUCCAGGACCGUCGACGUUAACAGGAUAUGUCCGUAUAGCAGCCGCCGCCCUGGAACGAGUACCACCGACGGUAGAACUAUAAGCAACAGCCGUGACUUUCAUACACCUCUCCUGUACACGAGAGACCAGGCGGUUCAAGUCGUAGGAGGUCUCGAGAGAGUUCACCUACU